rnacentral:misc_RNA from 1 species
UCUUGGUCAUUUAGAGGAAGUAAAAGUCGUAACAAGGUAACCGUAGGUGAACCUGCGGUUGGAUCAUUAAUAAAUACUUGCUCUAGCCUAGUAAUCGCAAGGUUACUAGGCUUAGGCAUAAACACCUGUGCACCGUAAUAUGGACAGACGACUGGCAGCCUAGCUGUUGGUCCCUGCCCAUUAUAUUAACCUAUUAAAUUUGGCUGAGAUAAAAAUUGUUAAUAGAAAACAACUUUUGACAACGGAUCUCUUGGCUCUCGCAACGAUGAAGAACGCAGCGAAAUGCGAUACGUAAUGUGAAUUGCAGAAUUCCGUGAAUCAUCGAAUCUUUGAACGCAUAUUGCACUAUGUUUCGGCAUAGUAUGCCUGUUUGAGAAUCUAUAGUAUUUCUUUAUGACUUUUGGGUCAUAAGAUUUGAGGCAUCUUACUCUAGUAGUGAGUGCCUUUAAAGCUAUAGCCGGUCCAGUGUAGGAAUCUACUGCUGCCGAAAAGCGUUUGACUGAAACUGUGGUUUCUACCUAUGCUGAUAAGGUGCAGUAGGAUAUAUUUCUAUAGUGGGGUGGUUCAUAACCAUAAGGUCCGCAAGGACUUGAACAAUGGUCUCAAAUCAGGUAGGAAGACCCGCUGAACUUAAGCAUAUCAAUAAGCGGAGGAAAAGAAACUAACAAGGAUUCCCCUAGUAACGGCGAGUGAAGCGGGAACAGCUCAAAUUUGAAAUCUCACUGGUUUCCAGU